rnacentral:rRNA from 1 species
UGGGGAAUGUUGCACAAUGGGCGCAAGCCUGAUGCAGCCAUGCCGCGUGUAUGAAGAAGGCCUUCGGGUUGUAAAGUACUUUCAGCGGGGAGGAAGGGAGUAAAGUUAAUACCUUUGCUCAUUGACGUUACCCGCAGAAGAAGCACCGGCUAACUCCGUGCCAGCAGCCGCGGUAAUACGGAGGGUGCAAGCGUUAAUCGGAAUUACUGGGCGUAAAGCGCACGCAGGCGGUUUGUUAAGUCAGAUGUGAAAUCCCCGGGCUCAACCUGGGAACUGCAUCUGAUACUGGCAAGCUUGAGUCUCGUAGAGGGGGGUAGAAUUCCAGGUGUAGCGGUGAAAUGCGUAGAGAUCUGGAGGAAUACCGGUGGCGAAGGCGGCCCCCUGGACGAAGACUGACGCUCAGGUGCGAAAGCGUGGGGAGCAAACAGG